rnacentral:rRNA from 1 species
UGGGGAAUAUCGCACAAUGGAGGGAACUCUGAUGCAGCGACGCCGCGUGAGUGAUGAAGGAAUUCGUUUCGUAAAACUCUGUUCUAUGGGAAGAAAAGGACUGUACCAUAGCAGAAAGCUCCGGCUAAAUACGUGCCAGCAGCCGCGGUAAUACGUAUGGAGCGAGCGUUGUCCGGAAUUAUUGGGCGUAAAGGGUGCGCAGGCGGCUUUACAAGUUGGAUGUGAAAUAUUGUGGCUCAACCACAAACGUGCAUCCAAAACUGCAAAGCUUGAGUUAAGGAGAGGUAAGUGGAAUUCCUGGUGUAGCGGUGGAAUGCGUAGAUAUCAGGAGGAAUACCGGUGGCGAAGGCGACUUACUGGACUUAAACUGACGCUCAGGCACGAAAGCGUGGGGAGCAAACAGG